AUGUUUCAUGCAAGAGGACAUAAAUUUGCAUCCUAUUUUUCUGUCCAGUUAGUUCCAAAUUACAAAUGUUUGUGCUAUCACUGACAAUUUGGUGGAAAAAGAUGAGUCGUAUAUACACCCAGUGUAAGCUUUCACAUCAGCCGUUGCUCUUGAUUGUCUUUGCAAGUCCAUAGAUAUAAUUUCUUAUGAUUUUCCUUUACUCAUAGUAAGUACUGAAUAUUUUGUGCUUCAACCCUUUAGGUGUUAAUUUCUAUGAUGUGGCUAGCAAAGUUGGCAACAGCUGGAGCUACCUGGAACUUUCAAUUUUGGUGCCAAGAUGGAUGGAUUCAACUGGGUGACCCACAGUCAGGGCGUGGCCGCGGCUGCGGCGCGGGCAGCAAGGACGAGCGCCGCAAGGGAGCCGAUGGGCAUGGGCGUGAACCGGGGAGAGGAGACCAUGGCGGAGGAGAUGAGAGAAGGCCACUGUCUUCUUCUCCCCCCUCUCCGACCAGAAACCCCUAUCUAUCCAUCCGACGAGAGAAGACUGCAGGCGGAGGAGAGGAGACGCGGGUGAGGUAAGAGGAGCCAAAUCCCCAUCAUGCUCCUCCCCGCGCGCCGCCGACCCACCAGCGGCAUUCUUUCUGGUGUGCUAGGUA